GAUUUUCUAUUUUCAGUGUGAAAUAUGAGUGCACGAGUAAGAUCAAGAUCUAGAGGAAAGGGAGAUGGAAAAAAGUCUUCUAAGCAGGAAGAACCUGUGGUUGCUAAACAACCAGGUGAAAAAACAUCACAGCAAAAGGAACUACCAACUGAGAAUCCAGAUAUUGAGACUGGGCAAGAGAAAGAAGGAGCACCUGUGGCUCAAGAACCUGAACUGGAAAGUGAAACCCAGGGAAUGGGUCUGGAAAAGACUGGAGCUGAGCAUGUAGAUUGCCCUGAGGUGAGAAAGGAAGACUCCACCUAAUCCAGCACCUGCUAAAAUUCCAGAAGCAUGUGAUGAACAGUCAUAUGUUCAAAAGAAGACAAGCUGAAGCCAUACGUAUGCUUUGUUAUGUUGAUAAUUUGGCUUAAGUUCUCUCAAUAAAGCCUUAAUAAAAUUU